rnacentral:rRNA from 1 species
GUGGGGGAUCAUUACCGAGUUUACAACUCCCAAACCCAAUGUGAACGUUACCAAACUGUUGCCUCGGCGGGAUCUCUGCCCCGGGUGCGUCGCAGCCCCGGACCAAGGCGCCCGCCGGAGGACCAACCAAAACUCUUAUUGUAUACCCCCUCGCGGGUUUUUUUAUAAUCUGAGCCUUCUCGGCGCCUCUCGUAGGCGUUUCGAAAAUGAAUCAAAACUUUCAACAACGGAUCUCUUGGUUCUGGCAUCGAUGAAGAACGCAGCGAAAUGCGAUAAGUAAUGUGAAUUGCAGAAUUCAGUGAAUCAUCGAAUCUUUGAACGCACAUUGCGCCCGCCAGUAUUCUGGCGGGCAUGCCUGUCCGAGCGUCAUUUCAACCCUCGAACCCCUCCGGGGGGUCGGCGUUGGGGAUCGGCCCUGCCUUGGCGGUGGCCGUCUCCGAAAUACAGUGGCGGUCUCGCCGCAGCCUCUCCUGCGCAGUAGUUUGCACACUCGCAUCGGGAGCGCGGCGCGUCCACAGCCGUUAAACACCCAACUUCUGAAAUGUUGACCUCGGAUCAGGUAGGAAUACCCGCUGAACUUAAGAAU